CAUAUAUAAGCCCUUGUCGCCCGGCGUCAUCUAUAUUCCCCCGCGUUCCAUCGAUCGUGGUAUCGCCGCGUACGUGGCUCGCGACCACAUGAUGACCGUCAGCUGCAGGCUCGUGGCGGUCGCCGUGGCGCUGGCGCUGGCGGCGGCGCUCCUGUCGUCAUCGCCACUGCACGGCGACGUGCGGGAGGUGGUGGAGAUACGCGACGUGGAGCUGAUCCCCGUGGACGGCGGCGCCGCGGGGCCGGAGAGCGUGGCGUUCGGCGUGGGCGGCGAGGGCCCCUACGCGGGCGUGUCGGACGGGAGGGUCAUCCGGUGGCUCCCGGAGGAGGGCCGCUGGGUCGACCACUCCUCCGCCGCCGCGCCAGAGCUAUUGGAUAGUUGCAGAGGAUCCCAGGACCCGAUGAAGGAGCACGAGUGUGGGCGCCCGCUGGGCCUCAAGUUCAACAAUAAAACUGGGGAGUUGUACGUCGCAGAUUCUUAUUUUGGGCUGAGAGUGGUCAGCCCCGGGGAUAACGUUUCAAGGCUGAUUGGGCCUGGACAGCCUGGGAGCCCCUUCAGCUUCGCCAACGGCGUCGAGAUUGACCAGGAAACUGGAGUUGUCUACUUCACCGAGACCAGCACGAGGUUCCACAGAAGGCAGUUCUUGAACAUUGUCAUAUCCGGUGACGCCACUGGCAGAUUGCUCAAAUAUGACCCUAACACCAAGGAGGUUCAAGUCUUGGUCGACGGCCUGGCAUUCCCCAACGGCCUUCUCAUGAGUGAAGACGGAUCCCACCUUCUCCUCGCCGAGACCACAACUUGCAAGAUCCACCGAUACUGGCUCAAGACACCCAAGGCCUCAACCCUUGAGUAACUCGUGCAACUACCGGGCUUCCCAGACAACAUCAAGGCGAGCCCGAGAGGCGGCUUCUGGGUCGGCCUCCAUGGCAAGCGAGGUAAGAUCGCCGAGUGGUCCACCUCUUUCCCGUGGUUGAGGAGGUUGGUCAUGAAGCUGCCACCCCAACGCGUGCAGCGUGUCAUGGCGUUCCUGAGCCGGUUUGGAAGUCAGGUGAUUACGUUGAGGGUCAGCGAGGAGGGGAAGGUGUUGGAAGAGGUAAUCGUGCAUGACGCGGCGAGGAAGAUGUUUGGAUCCAUCAGUGAACUGGAGGAAAGGUGUUGGAAAAUUAGGCAAGUUCAUGAUUAAUUCCAGUAAAUAAUUCAUGACUAGAAGAGAUACUAACAUGCAAAAAUCUAGCAAACUAGAAGAACAGCAAGACAUGCAUAACAGUAGCAAACACGUAACAGUAGCUGUAGAAACAGACAUGAACAAAGGAUGUUAGACGUACUGAUCGUUAGCUAUUAUGGGUGCGACAGUGUUGAUGACGAUGUUGGCGACGAUCUGCUGCUGACAGCGAUGAAUACGACGAUGAGUAGCACCGCCCGACUUGGACGAAAGACGACCCGUGAUGAAGAAUUUGAGCAGUCGCGCACAGCGCUUCCCAAAAACCUAAUUCGUCCUCUCCCGGUGCAGGAUCGCAAAGACGAACGGUUCCGGAGACCUGCUCUCCCACGCGCCGAUGCACGCCGGCGUUUGGGAUGGAGUAGACUACGAUGGCGGCGCAAGUUGUGAGAUGAGGCAAAACCCUAGAUGUUUUUCGGUGUAUCUCUGGCCGCAGCCGAUAGCUGUAUAUAUAUUAGGACUAGAGGCGGUAUUGUGUCGCGACCACAAUCCUAAACCAAUUCGGUUUCUAAUUCGUAUACUUACCGAAAAAGAAAUCAAAAAACUUGUCUACCAAGACAUAAAAAUAAAACGGC
rnacentral:rRNA from 1 species